UCCCUGGUGGCCCAGUAGUUGGGACCCCACACUCUUACUGUUGAGGGCCUGGGUUCAAUCCCUGGCUGGGGAA
rnacentral:tRNA from 1 species